ACAAAGGUAUUGAAAUAAGAUUUUAAUUGAAUGCUAAGAGAAUGGAAUUUCAGGGAAAAACUUUAUUUAAACUAAUAAUUAAAGUUUUUUUAAUUUGUGCGGAAACAAUUAUAUAAAUUAAGGACAAGAAGACCCUAUGAAUUUAUAAAACUUAUUUUUUUAUUAAUAUAACUAAUAAGUUUUAGCUGGGGCGGCAAGAAAAUAUAAAAAACUUUUCAUUAUUAAAAUGAUCCAUUAUUAAUGAUUAAAUGAAAAAAUACUCUAGGGAUAACAGCGUU
rnacentral:rRNA from 1 species